CAGAUUUGAGCAGGGUUAAAGUUAGAUUUGAGCAGGGUUAAAGUAUAUCUCACAGGUCAUUAGUUGUGACUGUACUGUGUGUUUCUGUUUGCAGCUCUGUGUGUUGUGGAGUCAGCUGGCAUUAAUGUGACGGGGGUGGUAGGAGGACAAGUCAAAAUCACCUGUUCUUAUUCAUGGGCAGAGGACAAUGACAAAUAUUUCUGCAGAAGAGAAUGUUACCAUAGAGAUCGUCUUGUUCAAACUGAGGGCAAGAAGCAUUAUAUUGAGAAACAGAGAUACAUCAUAGAAGACUUAAGGAAUGGAGUAUUCUAUGUGACCAUCAAGAACCUGAGGAAGACAGACUCUGGAACCUACUGGUGUGGAGUGGAGAGAUUUGGCCCAGACACAUACCAAGAGGUGCAUCUCACAGUUACAGAUGCUCCUCUUAAAUUGUCAACAGUCACCUCCAGACCUCAUUUCUCCACAACCCUCCCAAACCUCUCUGCAACAUGAUCUAACAUCUCCACAACCAUCCCAAACCUCUCUGCAAAAUUAUCUAACAUCUCUACAACGUUUCUGGCAUCUGUAGAAGUCAAUGGUCCUCCUUCAUCAAGAGCAGGUCUGAUGGUGUGGACCAGUGUUGGUCUGGUAGUCAUGGUGACAGUGUUAGGACUGGUCCUGGUCCUGUUCUACAGACAGAGGAGAGGAACCAGGAGAACACCACCACCAGUCUCCUCCAACACACAACCUGACCCUA